rnacentral:rRNA from 1 species
CUGUCGUCAGCUCGUGUCGUGAGAUGUUGGGUUAAGUCCCGCAACGAGCGCAACCCUUGUCAUUAGUUGCCAUCAUUUGGUUGGGCACUCUAAUGAGACUGCCGGUGACAAACCGGAGGGAAGGUGGGGAUGACGUCAAGUCCUCAUGGCCCUUAUGGGUAGGGCUUCACACGUCAUACAAUGGUCGGUACAGAGGGUUGCCAACCCGCGAGGGGGAGCUAAUCCCACAAAGCCGAUCGUAGUCCGGAUCGCAGUCUGCAACUCGACUGCGUGAAGUCGGAAUCGCUAGUAAUCGUGGAUCAGCAUGUCACGGUGAAUACGUUCCCGGGUCCUU